rnacentral:rRNA from 1 species
GGGCGUAAGGGCUCGUAGGCGGUUUGUCGCGUCGGGAGUGAAAACUCAGGGCUCAACCCUGAGCGUGCUUCCGAUACGGGCAGACUAGAGGUAUGCAGGGGAGAACGGAAUUCCUGGUGUAGCGGUGGAAUGCGCAGAUAUCAGGAGGAACACCGGUGGCGAAGGCGGUUCUCUGGGCAUUACCUGACGCUGAGGAGCGAAAGCAUGGGGAGCGAACAGGAUUAGAUACCCUGGUAGUCCAUGCCGUAAACGUUGGGCGCUAGGUGUGGGGACCUUCCACGGUUUCCGUGCCGCAGCUAACGCAUUAAGCGCCCCGCCUGGGGAGUACGGCCGCAAGGCUAAAACUCAAAGGAAUUGACGGGGGCCCGCACAAGCGGCGGAGCAUGCUGAUUAAUUCGAUGCAACGCGAAGAACCUUACCUAGGUUUGACAUAUAGCGAAAACUUACAGAGAUGUAAGGUCCUUUUGGGCGCUAUACAGGUGGUGCAUGGCUGUCGUCAGCUCGUGUCGUGAGAUGUUGGGUUAAGUCCCGCAACGAGCGCAACCCUCGUUCUAUGUUGCCAGCACGUAAUGGUGGGGACUCAUAGGAGACUGCCGGGGUCAACUCGGAGGAAGGUGGGGAUGACGUCAAGUCUUCAUGCCCCUUAUGCCUAGGGCUUCAAGCAUGCUACAAUGGCUGGUACAAAGGGCUGCGAAACAGCAAUGUGGAGCGAAUCCCAAAAAGCCAGUCUCAGUUCGGAUUGGGGUCUGCAACUCGACCCCAUGAAGUCGGAGUCGCUAGUAAUCGCAGAUCAGCAACGCUGCGGUGAUACGUUCCCGGGCUUGCACUCACCGCCCGUC